rnacentral:misc_RNA from 1 species
GAUGAAGAACGCAGCGAAAUGCGAUAAGUAAUGUGAAUUGCAGAAUUCAGUGAAUCAUCGAAUCUUUGAACGCACAUUGCGCCCGUCAGUAUUCUGGCGGGCAUGCCUGUUCGAGCGUCAUUACGCCCCUCAAGUCCCCUGUGGACUUGGUGUUGGGGAUCGGCGAGGCUGGUUUUCCAGCACAGCCGUCCCUUAAAUUAAUUGGCGGUCUCGCCGUGGCCCUCCUCUGCGCAGUAGUAAAACACUCGCAACAGGAGCCCGGCGCGGUCCACUGCCGUAAAACCCCCCAACUUUUUAUAGUUGACCUCGAAUCAGGUAGGACUACCCGCUGAACUUAAGCAUAUCAAUAAGGGAGGA